GUGAACGCUGGCGGUCGGCCUAACACAUGCACGUCGAACGGCAGCACAGUAAGAGCUUGCUCUUACGGGUGGCGAGUGGCGGACGGGUGAGGAAUACAUCGGAAUCUACUUUUUCGUGGGGGAUAACGUAGGGAAACUUACGCUAAUACCGCAUACGACCUACGGGUGAAAGCAGGGGAUCUUCGGACCUUGCGCGAUUGAAUGAGCCGAUGUCGGAUUAGCUAGUUGGCGGGGUAAAGGCCCACCAAGGCGACGAUCCGUAGCUGGUCUGAGAGGAUGAUCAGCCACACUGGAACUGAGACACGGUCCAGACUCCUACGGGAGGCAGCAGUGGGGAAUAUUGGACAAUGGGCGCAAGCCUGAUCCAGCCAUACCGCGUGGGUGAAGAAGGCCUUCGGGUUGUAAAGCCCUUUUGUUGGGAAAGAAAAGCAGCAGAUUAAUACCCCGCUGUUCUGACGGUACCCAAAGAAUAAGCACCGGCUAACUUCGUG
rnacentral:rRNA from 1 species